GGAUCGCAGGCUGCAACCCGCCUGCGUGAAGUUGGAAUCGCUAGUAAUCGCGGAUCAGCAUGCCGCGGUGAAUACGUUCCCGGGCCUUGUACACACCGCCCGUCACACCAUGAGAGUCGGGAACACCCGAAGUCCGUAGUCUAACCGCAAGGGGACGCGGCCGAAGGUGGGUUCGAUAAUUGGGGUGAAGUCGUAACAAGGUAAC
rnacentral:rRNA from 1 species